CCUACGGGAGGCAGCAGUGGGGAAUAUUGGACAAUGGGGGCAACCCUGAUCCAGCCAUGCCGCGUGUGUGAAGAAGGCCCUCGGGUUGUAAAGCACUUUCAGUGAGGAAGAACGCCUGGUGGUUAAUACCCAUCAGGAAAGACAUCACUCACAGAAGAAGCACCGGCUAACUCCGUGCCAGCAGCCGCGGUAAUACGGAGGGUGCGAGCGUUAAUCGGAAUUACUGGGCGUAAAGCGCGCGUAGGUGGCUUGAUAAGCCGGUUGUGAAAGCCCCGGGCUCAACCUGGGAACGGCAUCCGGAACUGUCAAGCUAGAGUGCAGGAGAGGAAGGUAGAAUUCCCGGUGUAGCGGUGAAAUGCGUAGAGAUCGGGAGGAAUACCAGUGGCGAAGGCAGCCUUCUGGACUGACACUGACACUGAGGUGCGAAAGCGUGGGUAGCAAACAGGAUUAGAUACCCUAGUAGUC
rnacentral:rRNA from 1 species